UGAACGCUAGCGGCAGGCUAACACAUGCAAGUCGAGGGGUAACAGUCCGGAGCAAUCUGGAGCUGACGACCGGCGCACGGGUGAGUAACGCGUAUGCAACUUUCCUCUAACAGAGAGAUAGGGCGAAGAAAUUCGGAUUAAUAUCUCAUAACAUCAUGAAAUCGCAUGGUUUUAUGAUUAAAGCUCCGGCGGUUAGAGAUGGGCAUGCGUGACAUUAGUUAGUUGGUGAGGUAACGGCUCACCAAGGCAACGAUGUCUAGGGGUUCUGAGAGGAUGAUCCCCCACACUGGUACUGAGACACGGACCAGACUCCUACGGGAGGCAGCAGUGAGGAAUAUUGGGCAAUGGACGCAAGUCUGACCCAGCCAUGCCGCGUGCAGGAUGACGGCCCUACGGGUUGUAAACUGCUUUUGUACGAGAAGAAUUCUCUUGACGUGUCAGGGGUUGACGGUAUCGUACGAAUAAGCAUCGGCUAACUCCGUGCCAGCAGCCGCGGUAAUACGGAGGAUGCAAGCGUUAUCCGGAUUUAUUGGGUUUAAAGGGUGCGUAGGCGGGAUAUUAAGUCAGUGGUGAAAUCCUGCAGCUUAACUGUAGAACUGCCAUUGAUACUGAUAUUCUUGAGUAUAGUUGAAGUGGGCGGAAUGUGUAAUGUAGCGGUGAAAUGCUUAGAUAUUACACAGAACACCGAUUGCGUAGGCAGCUCGCUAAACUAAUACUGACGCUGAGGCACGAAAGCGUGGGGAGCGAACAGGAUUAGAUACCCUGGUAGUCCACGCUGUAAACUAUGAUCACUCGUUGUUGGCAAUACACAGUCAGCGACUGAGCGAAAGCAUUAAGUGAUCCACCUGGGGAGUACGGCCGCAAGGUUGAAACUCAAAGGAAUUGACGGGGGCCCGCACAAGCGGAGGAACAUGUGGUUUAAUUCGAUGAUACGCGAGGAACCUUACCUGGGCUUAAAUGCAGAACGACGUCCGCCGAAAGGCAGAUUCCCUUCGGGGCGGACUGCAAGGUGCUGCAUGGUUGUCGUCAGCUCGUGCCGUGAGGUGUCGGGUUAAGUCCCAUAACGAGCGCAACCCUUAUUGUUAGUUGCCAGCGGGUAAUGCCGGGGACUCUAACGAAACUGCCGGUGUAAACCGAGAGGAAGGUGGGGAUGACGU
rnacentral:rRNA from 1 species